GUGGUCUUUAAUGGGGUGUGGGGCAAUGCUGUGCAGGGCUCUUGACCACUAGGAGCUGCCAGUGCUGUGGGAAAGCUCAGAUGACCUUUAGGACCCCACCUGGAAAGUGAGAUAGGAUGACGGGCUUGCGCUGGAACUGGAUCGUGCAGGUGUUUGGUGGGAGACUGAUGAAGUCCGAGGUGGGUUCACAGAGGAGAUGGACACUGACCAGGAGGCUGAGAGUAUAGCCCAGGAGUUCUCAAAGUGUGGUCUCCAGACCAGCUCCAUCCAUGUCACCUGGAAAACUGUUAGAAAUACAGACUCUUGGGCCCUCAGAUCUGCUGAAUCAGAAACAUGGGAGAUGUUUUAACAAGUUCCCCAGGUGACUCUGAUGCUUGCUAAAAUUUGAGAACCACCCAUGUAGAAGAUGCAGCUUUGGAGCCAGAACCAUGUGGGUUUAAAUCCUAGCUCUGGUUCUCAUAACUCUGUGGCCUUGAGCAAUGCAAAUCCAUGAGCCUCAAGGUCCUCGCUGGGGAAAUAGGAAUGGUUGUCCUAUUUUGUACAAUUAUUACUAGGCAUGUGUCAAGCACUGUCCUUCAUACUGAGGUCCAGAGUUGAAAAGUCAUGACCUCUGACCUCAGGGAACUAACAAUCUAUGGGGUGUAAUGAGAACCAAUGUUUAUUGAGCACCUGCUAUGUACCAGACGUUAUGCUGAGUGCUUUAUGUUCAUGGUCUCAUUGAGUUUCACAACGCCUCUAUGAGGUUAGGACAAUUAUUAUCUCCGUUUUCAGAUGGGGCUGAGUGACUCGCCAAAAUGCACAGAGCCCCUGAGUGUGGACAGCUGAGAGCCAGACGUUAGUUGUCCAACUGCAGAGCCCAAGGAUUCAUCAUCUGCUGUUCUCUGAUCUGCUCUGUGUCCCCAGAGGCCAGCCUCUGCAAACCCCAUCUAUCAUCUGUCCUUGGCUUUGGCUUCCAGUAGGAGGUACCAAGAAGAGACUGGAAGGAAGCAAGAAAGAUUGGGGCCUUUUUCCUCCUCACUCCUACCUGCCUGGCUCCGGUGGGUCUUGCAGUGGCCACAGCCCCUAUGGAGUUCCCUCUUUUGUGUCUCCAGCUCUCACCAGCAGCUUGUCCCUCCCUGGGGCCUUAAGGUCUUGUUCUUCAAUGGUAACAGUUUUCUGCGAUUGCCAGAAUGUUAGUCACUAUCCUUUAUGGCUUCCCUUAACCCUGCCCACACCUCAAAUAUAGUCUCUUUAUUGUGCUGCCUUCCUGGUAAAACUUUUGGGCACUCCACGUGUUUCUGGUGGGAUCCUUGCUGCUGCGGACAUCAAGGCAUACAGUUAACAACAACAAAGGCUAGCAUUUACAGGGUGC
rnacentral:lncRNA from 13 species